CACUGGUUGAACUGAACUUUGGUCAGCAGAGAGGCUCGAAAAAGCUGCUCUCUGGCCCCGCCCACUGACAUUCAACUCAACCAAUGAGAUGAUUUCUGUCUCCAGAGCAGAAAGGUUUGAGGAACUAAAAGCACAGUCAGCUUGAUGUUGAGGAGAAGGGCUGUGCAGCAGAGAGGCGCUUUAGUUUUUCAUUCUCCUGCAGUGGAAGAACAUUGCUGCUCUGCUGUCUCUUUGACUUUAACAACUCCAAAGACAUGUUGCUUCACCUCUUUUUACUUUGCUCUCACUUUAUAGCCCUGAGUUCCAUGAACAGCAUAAAGCCAGAAAGGACUGAAGAACAUGUUGCAGAGGGAAGAAACAUCAACCUGGCCUGUAAAUACGAGGGUGCUAUCUACAAUAUCCAGUGGUACCGACAAUACCAGAGAUCCAGACCAGAGUUCCUGCUCUACAUCACAGAGGGAGGAUCGAUCCAUCCAACUGGUUCUGGUUUCUCAGCUCACAUCAACAAAACAGAGAAACGUGUAGAUGUGGAGAUCAUCUCAGCUAAAGUGACUGACUCUGCUGUGUACUACUGUGCUAGUUUAGAAGACAGCACUGUUACUCUGUCCUACAAAUACUCCAAACAAACAACUGGUAGUGAUCAGUUUUACUGGUAUCGACAAUAUCCGGGAAAACCACCAGAGUUCCUCAUCUCUCACUCAGGAACAGGAACAGUAAUAUCUAAUCCAGUCUCCAGACUGACUGUGAAAGUGAGUGAGGAUCAAACCCAAAUGGAUCUGCAGAUCUCCUCUGCUGCAGUGACUGACUCUGCUCUGUACUACUGUGCU